rnacentral:lncRNA from 1 species
CUGGGGCUGCGGCUGCGGCUGCGGCUGCGGCUGCAGCAGCCGUUUCUUUCCUCCAGUGGGGGCUGCUGCCCUGGGACAGUGGCUGAGGAAGUGGCCUUGCUGACCCCCUGCUUGCCUCAGGGUCCGGCCAGGGAGUCCGGGGUGGCCAGCAACCUCCCCUUCCCUCCCAGCGAGCCAGUGUGGUGUGCUGGGCCUGUGGCAUGCCAGGAAGGACUGGAGAGAGCCUGGAGGUGGCUGGAACAGCAGUGGGGGCCUUGCCUUCCCCCGGGGGAUCCCCCCUCAUGCCACUCUGCAACCCGAGGUACAGGAAUCUGCCAGGAGGAUGAGAAGAGGAACAAGGCCUUGAAUAAUUCUUCUCUUCUCCUGGUCUUCUCUGAUUCUGCUGAAGAAGGAANUGGCUGAAGAGUGCCUUCCAGAGUCUUCCUGAGAUAAGAGAGGAGAAAUGAGGAAGCAGGUGCAGGCAAGGAACGGGAAGGGCAAGACAGCAAGCCAAGCUCAGAUGGAAGCCCCGUUGGCUGCANGGAGCAAUAGGAUUUCCAAUGCCUCCCUUGCCCACCCCACUCUCCCUUCAAGCUGUCCGUCUCCUGGACCUGCUGCUCAUGAGGGGGCAGGCAACUUAAAGGCAGAAUCUGGCAGAACUGCGAUAGAUUUGCCCCCAACUGAAGGCCUACCAAUCACUGUUCUUAAAAGAACGCUGGCCUACCCCAAAGGAUCCAAAUGGGGCAAGGAGGAUGGUAAAGGACUCCACAAGCAAGAUCUGCAACAGCGAGAGGAAGGAUAUCACCGAAGGUCAGAAAAUUCCAUAGAGUAGACACAGCGUGAUGUCAGUAGGCAGCAGGUUGGAAGUUUCUCGUAAUGCAGCCUUCCAAAAAUGGCUCCAUCUUGGCCUUUCAGCCAUUUCCAUCCGCCCCAGCUGGCAGAGCAUCGACUGAAGUGUUUUUCCACUACUAUUAAUCUUGCAUUUGCUCUCCCUAACNGGCACAUUUCUCUUCCCAGCAGUCUGGACCACCGCGGGGGCCACCUCUAGGAAACUCUUUGCAUCCUCAGGAGCCUUGAAGUGGCGCUGAGUUCUAGCUGGUGGUGCACAUUCA